CCAGACUCCUACGGGAGGCAGCAGUGAGGAAUAUUGGUCAAUGGACGAGAGUCUGAACCAGCCAAGUAGCGUGAAGGAUGACUGCCCUAUGGGUUGUAAACUUCUUUUAUAAAGGAAUAAAACGAGGCACGUGUGCCUUUUUGCAUGUACUUUAUGAAUAAGGAUCGGCUAACUCCGUGCCAGCAGCCGCGGUAAUACGGAGGAUCCGAGCGUUAUCCGGAUUUAUUGGGUUUAAAGGGAGCGUAGAUGGGUUGUUAAGUCAGUUGUGAAAGUUUGCGGCUCAACCGUAAAAUUGCAAUUGAUACUGGCAGUCUUGAGUACAGUUGAGGUAGGCGGAAUUCGUGGUGUAGCGGUGAAAUGCAUAGAUAUCACGCAGAACCCCGAUUGCGAAGGCAGCCUUCCGGCGCCCUACUGACGCUGAGGCACGAAAGUGCGGGGAUCGAACAGGAUUAGAUACCCGUGUAAU
rnacentral:rRNA from 1 species